CGAUUGGGGGUGCACUUCAGCUCGGGGCGGAUAGGGACGGGGACCAGUCCAAUGGAAAGAGGGUAGCCACAUUCGUUGCGUCUGGGAAAUAGAUGUAAAGUUAGGCCGCGCGAUAUCUGAAUUUGUAAUCGGGAAAAACCCGUAACACUGCAUGGCGCAUGUUGCGCAACCACUUGCACAAGGGUUGAAGAACCUUCUAGAACCAAAAUUUCGUCAUUUUUCUUUCAAAACUGCCGAAGUUCCGGUCUGUAUAGGAAAGCCUCCAUCUUUUCCAAUUGUUUUCCCAUGGUAUUAGACAGUUUUAUGAAAUAAUUGAAAAAUAAGCUGUACCGUCAGGGUGGCCUACGUAAAUGAUAGCAGCUUGUGCCUGUGGAGUGUGGGUGGUGGGAUCUUCCGGUUGCCCAGUCAUGUUGGACCGAGUCGUGAAAGACUUCUGCGGCAUUUGUGGGAAAGACAGCAACUGAACCAUUGAAUCCAAACAGGCAGCAAUAAAUCUGCCACACUACUGCUGCAUAACCCCAUGAGAAGGUUCGCAUUUGCUUCCGUCUUCUCUUCACUUUCCUGUGGCUAUCUCAGGCAUGUGUGCUGCUUUCUACAUCAGCACCUCUUGUUGCUGAAUCUCAGCCUGAACUUUUUGUAGAUGAUGAGGACAAACAAUGCCAGGAUGACCUUGGCUGGAACUAUGUGUAUGAUGAAGGGGUGGCGACUUGCGUAUCAUGUGGAAGUUGUGAGUGUGGUCAUAUUGCCAAUAAUCCACACUGCGUGAAAUGCCAAGAUGGUGGCAUUCUGAAAUGUUCAAGUUCUCCAGAGACGGUCACGAGCAUUCCACACCUGGAGACUACUAGAUUUCCUCCGACCACCUUGACAGUCUUGCAGACAACAUGGAAGUCAUUCAUGACUUCACCAUUGUCAGCCAACACCACUACAAGUUAUUCCAGCAUGCAGACUUACGUUUCAAUUGCAAUCGGUGUGAUAGGGCUAGGUGUCAUCCUUUUGGCAGUGGUUUUGUGCAUUUUCCUGUACAGACGCUACCGUCCAAAGAGAGAACAUCGUGCCCUCGUUACUCAGGACACUGAAAGGCAUGAGCAGCAUCCAAUGAUGCCAUUCAGUUCUGUGGAUAAUGAUGCUCCUGACAACUAGACUGCCGUGAAGCUCUUGACAGGUGUUAGGUCUGUCUCAGUGUAAGCAAGACCCUAUGAUAACGGUCAAUCUUUAAAUUUGGGGUAUAAUUUUUCCUGUCCCUGUUACAUCUGAUUAAUGAUUUAGUAAGUUUAAAAACACAUUCGUUACUCUCCAAGAGUGAUUAAGUAAUGCAACUUUCCAGUCAAACCAAUAAAAUAGUUAGAAAUCAAUGUCAAUGAUAUCAUUUAACAAAUUGCACAGGUCAGGUGUAACAGGGACAGAAAAACAUGCCACAUACACAUGUAUGUCAGAUCCUAAAUUUAUAGAACGACCCACAUGGAAGACUUGUACAUGUUAACUGAAAUCAGGUGCGGCUAUUCACUUACAUGUAAACACAAACUGUUCAAAGACGAUUCACAUCACAUAAAAUGAACACUCAACAAAAAUGUAAAUAAAACCUCAUGAUCAAUUUUAUUCAAGUACUGCCACUUUGCACAAAUUUUUCAAAUCAGCUUUUUGAGCAAAUUUUGACAAUAAAAGAAGUAAAAACUUGGAUGGAAUUUCAGGCU